rnacentral:rRNA from 1 species
UACGGAGGGUGCAAGCGUUAUCCGGAUUCACUGGGUUUAAAGGGUGCGUAGGCGGGCAGGUAAGUCAGUGGUGAAAUCCCCGAGCUUAACUUGGGAACUGCCGUUGAUACUAUCUGUCUUGAAUGCCGUGGAGGUAAGCGGAAUAUGUCAUGUAGCGGUGAAAUGCUUAGAUAUGACAUAGAACACCAAUUGCGAAGGCAGCUAACUAAGCUUUAACUGACGCUGAGGCACGAAAGUGUGGGGAUCAAACAGG